GAUGAACGCUAGCGGCAGGCUUAAUACAUGCAAGUCGAGGGGCAGCACGGGUAGCAAUACUGGGUGGCGACCGGCAAACGGGUGCGGAACACGUACACAACCUUCCUUUUGGUGGGGGAUAGCCUUUGGAAACGGAGAUUAAUACCCCAUAAUACAGGGGGCCCGCAUGGGUCUAUUGUUAAAGAUUUAUUGCCAGAAGAUGGGUGUGCGUCUGAUUAGGUAGUUGGCGGGGUAAAGGCCCACCAAGCCGACGAUCAGUAACUGGUGUGAGAGCACGACCAGUCACACGGGCACUGAGACACGGGCCCGACUCCUACGGGAGGCAGCAGUAAGGAAUAUUGGUCAAUGGGCGGAAGCCUGAACCAGCCAUGCCGCGUGGAGGAUGAAGGUCCUCUGGAUUGUAAACUUCUCUUAUCAGGGGCGAAAAAAGGCUUUUCUAAGUCGUCUGACGGUACCUGAUGAAUAAGCACCGGCUAACUCCGUGCCAGCCGCCGCGGUAAAAC
rnacentral:rRNA from 1 species